rnacentral:lncRNA from 1 species
UGCAUAACAAAAAGAUAAAACAAAAUCCUCAGUAAAUAACAAACUAGGAAAAAACGCAAACUAUGUCUUGAUGGAAAUAAGUUUCUUAAAACAAUAUUAUCUUCAAAAAGCUCUUAAUGUGCUAACCGAUAAAUCAAGCAACUCCACUGGGGAAAUGUGAUUCACUGAAUUACAUAAACAGGUUGGGCUUCUUGGCUUUGUAGGUUGUUUUUAGGCUCCUAGUUGGUGGCCUAAUCUUCUUGUACACCAGAGGGAACUUGAUUUUGGAAUUGUGAAACUGCUUAGUGCUCUCCCUUUUGCACAGAUUAGCCGGGAUGGUGGCAGUCUUAAUGAUUUGAAUGCAGGGAAACCUGACCCUAUGACGAGAUGCCAUCUCGUUGUACAUUGUCUCCACAGCGCCGUUUAGAGUAGUAUC